GCCAGCAGCCUUUUCACCUUGUGACUCACAGCUGGCAGCCCACUGGAGCUCAGCAGGUGUGAUCCUGGUCAGUACCUGGAUGGGAGACCUCCUGGGAAAAACUAAGGUUGCUGCUGGAA
rnacentral:rRNA from 1 species